rnacentral:rRNA from 1 species
GACGAACGCUGGCGGCGUGCCUAACACAUGCAAGUCGAACGGAACUGUUUUGAAAGAUUUCUUCGGAAUGAAUUUGAUUUAGUUUAGUGGCGGACGGGUGAGUAACGCGUGAGUAACCUGCCUUCAAGAGGGGAAUAACAUUCUGAAAAGAAUGCUAAUACCGCAUGACAUAUCGGAACCACAUGGUUUUGAUAUCAAAGAUUUUAUCGCUUGAAGAUGGACUCGCGUCCGAUUAGUUAGUUGGUGAGGUAACGGCUCACCAAGACCGCGAUCGGUAGCCGGACUGAGAGGUUGAACGGCCACAUUGGGACUGAGACACGACCCAGACUCCUACGGGAGACAGCAGUGGGGGAUAUUGCGCAAUGGGGGCAACCCUGACGCAGCAACGCCGCGUGAAGGAGGAAGGUUUUCGGAUUGUAAACUUCUUUUAUUAAGGACGAAAAAUGACGGUACUUAAUGAAUAAGCUCCGGCUAACUACGUG